rnacentral:rRNA from 1 species
UUAUAUGGUCAAGCGACUAAGCGCAUACGGUGGAUGCCUUGGCAGUCAGAGGCGAUGAAGGACGUGGAAGUCUGCGAUAAGCCUAGGUAAGCCGACAACAGGCGUUACAACCUAGGAUUUCCGAAUGGGGAAACCCGCCCGCUUUUGUGGGCAUUUUGCACUGAAUCCAUAGGUGCAAAAAGCGAACCCGGAGAACUGAAACAUCUAAGUAUCCGGAGGAAAAGAAAUCAACCGAGAUUCCCCCAGUAGCGGCGAGCGAACGGGGAACAGCCGAGCAGUUUAAGCUAGUGGAAUGCGCUGGAAAGCGCAGCGAUACAGGGUGAUAGCCCCGUACACGAAAGCAAAAACUGACGUAUCAAGUAGGACGGGACAUGUGAAACCCUGUCUGAAUUGUUCCUUCGGGAACGAGGGGGAACCAUCCUCCAAGGCUAAAUACUACUGACUGACCGAUAGUGAACCAGUACCGUGAGGGAAAGGCGAAAAGAACCCCGGUGAGGGGAGUGAAAUAGAUCCUGAAACCGUGUGCGUACAAGCAGUAGGAGUCUGGCCGCUCGGUCUUGAUUGAGUGGUCGGAUGACUGCGUACCUUUUGUAUAAUGGGUCAGCGACUUAUUGUGUGUAGCAAGGUUAACCGUUUAGGGGAGCCGCAGGGAAACCGAGUCUUAAUAGGGCGUUUUAGUUGCAUGCAAUAGACCCGAAACCCGGCGAUCUAUCCAUGGGCAGGUUGAAGGUUAGGUAACACUGACUGGAGGACCGAACCCACUAAUGUUGAAAAAUUAGGGGAUGACCUGUGGAUCGGAGUGAAAGGCUAAUCAAGCCGGGAGAUAUCUGGUUCUCCUCGAAAGCUAUUUAGGUAGCACCUCGCGUCUCACCAUUGGGGGUAGAGCACUGUUUCGGCUAGGGGGUCAUCCCGACUUACCAAACCGAUGCAAACUCCGAAUACCAAUGAGUGCAAUCGCGGGAGACACACGGCGGGUGCUAAGAUCCGUCGUGGAAAGGGAAACAGCCCAGACCGCCAGCUAAGGUCCCUAAACCAUGUUAAGUGGGAAACGAUGUGGGAAGGCUCAGACAGCUAGGAGGUUGGCUUAGAAGCAGCCAUCCUUUAAAGAAAGCGUAAUAGCUCACUAGUCGAGUCGGCCUGCGCGGAAGAUGUAACGGGGCUAAACAUGGUACCGAAGCUGCGGAUUCGGUCACUUUUCGGAGUGGCCGGAUGGUAGAGGAGCGUUCUGUAAGCCGCUGAAGGUGUGCUGGGAAGCAUGCUGGAGGUAUCAGAAGUGCGAAUGCUGACAUGAGUAACGAUAAGAGGGGUGAAAAACCCCUCCGCCGAAAGACCAAGGUUUCCUGUUCAACGCUAAUCGGAGCAGGGUUAGUCGGCACCUAAGGCGAGGCCGAAAGGCGUAGUCGAUGGAAAACAGGUUAAUAUUCCUGUACUUGAAUAUGCUGCGAUGGGGUGACGGAGAAGGCUAUACCAGACGGGCGUUGGUUGUCCCGAUCUAAGCGUGUAGGCUGAGAGCUUAGGCAAAUCCGGGCUCUUAAAGCUGAGACGUGAUGGCGAAGAUCUCUUUUGAUCUGAGUGGUAAGUGCCAUGCUCCCAAGAAAAACCUCUAAGCUUCAGGCAUAUUUAAACCGUACCCCAAACCAACACAGGUGGUCAGGUAGAGAAUACUAAGGCGCUUGAGACAACUCUGGUGAAGGAACUAGGCAAAAUAGCACCGUAACUUCGGGAGAAGGUGCGCCAGCCUGGGUGACGGGGCUUGCCCCCUGAGCUCAGGUUGGCCGAAGUGACCAGGUGGCUGCGACUGUUUAUCAAAAACACAGCACUCUGCAAACUCGCAAGAGGACGUAUAGGGUGUGACGCCUGCCCGGUGCCGGAAGGUUAAUUGAUGGGGUUAGUCUUCGGACAAAGCCCUUGAUCGAAGCCCCGGUAAACGGCGGCCGUAACUAUAACGGUCCUAAGGUGAAUGAACGCCUUAGUAAAACCAAACCAUAUGCGGGAAACUCCUCCAAAACUGCUCGGUACUCAUCGAGCCGGUUUUCAGCAGAAAAAAGCAAUGCUUCAUAGCACGCUUUUGGACGCAAUAAAAACACCACGGCUCGGCAGUAAAAAUCCGACAGACACGGGGACAAUCCGCAGGAAAGGCCCAGCGCAAGCGCGCCGGGAAUCCUCAGAGACUUUAUGUUUGGAGAUACUUCAUGAGAUUAGAAGCACAGUGGAUAGUGGGCUUUGUUGAUGGCGAGGGCUGUUUUCACAUCGGCAUCAGCAAAAACGACUCCGCGACCCUCGGAGUUCAGGUGCUACCUGAAUUCACGGUGGUCCAACACGAGCAAUCGGUAAAAGUAUUGCACGCGCUCAAGGCAUAUUUUGGGUGCGGUGUUGUGCGGGUCAACCGCAAAGACAAGACAUCCACCCGGAUGGCUUAUCGAGUACGCAACCUGCAACAUCUGCUGGAUAUAAUCUCCCCUUUCUUUCUAAAGCAUCCUUUGAAGACGCACAAAAACGUGGAAUUUCGCAAAUUCCGCCGAGUGCUACUGAAAAUGGAAAAAGGCGAGCAUCUAACCGCGCAAGGCAUCGAAGAAAUUCGAGCCAUUGUCGCCCAGAUGAAUCGCAAAUCGCAAACAGAAUGAAAGGCAAGUAUCUAAGAGAAAGUCCGACUUUUCUGGAAACAGAUAAGAGCAAUCGAGCGAAAUUCCUUGUCGGGUAAGUUCCGACCUGCACGAAUGGCGUAACGAUGGCCACGCUGUCUCCACCAGAGGCUCAGUGAAAUUGAAAUCGCGGUUAAGAUGCCGUGUACCCGCGGCUAGACGGAAAGACCCCGUGAACCUUUACUAUAGCUUGGCACUGGACUCUGACACUAUAUGUGUAGGAUAGGUGGGAGACUUUGAAGCGUUGUCGCUAGAUAGCGUGGAGUCAACCUUGAAAUACCACCCUUAUAUUGUUGGGGUUCUAACUCCGGCCCCUUAUCGGGGUCGAGGACAGUGUCUGGUGGGUAGUUUGACUGGGGCGGUCUCCUCCCAAAGAGUAACGGAGGAGCACGAAGGUUGGCUAAGCAUGGUCGGAAAUCAUGCGGUUAGUGCAAUGGUAUAAGCCAGCUUGACUGCGAGACUCACAAGUCGAGCAGGUAGGAAACUAGGUCAUAGUGAUCCGGUGGUUCUGAAUGGAAGGGCCAUCGCUCAACGGAUAAAAGGUACUCCGGGGAUAACAGGCUGAUACCGCCCAAGAGUUCAUAUCGACGGCGGUGUUUGGCACCUCGAUGUCGGCUCAUCACAUCCUGGGGCUGAAGUUGGUCCCAAGGGUAUGGCUGUUCGCCAUUUAAAGUGGUACGCGAGCUGGGUUCAGAACGUCGUGAGACAGUUCGGUCCCUAUCUGCCGUGGGCGUUGGAGAUUUGAGGAAAGCUGCUCCUAGUACGAGAGGACCGGAGUGGACGAACCUCUGGUGUUCGGGUUGUCACGCCAGUGGCACUGCCCGGUAGCUAUGUUCGGACGGGAUAACCGCUGAAAGCAUCUAAGCGGGAAGCCUCUUCCAAGAUGAGAUCUCCCUGGAGCCUUGAGCUCCCUGUAGGGCCGUUGAAGACGACAACGUUGAUAGGCCAGGUGUGGAAGCGCAGCAAUGCGUUAAGCUAACUGGUACUAAUUGCCCGUGAGGCUUGACCAUAUAAUGC